rnacentral:misc_RNA from 1 species
UACAGAGGUGGCGAGCGUUGUUCGGAUUUAUUGGGCGUAAGGGGUCCGUAGGCGGUCCGGAAAGUCGGAUGUGAAAUCCCACAGCUCAACUGUGGAACUGCAUUCGAAACUCCCGGACUCGAGUGUGAGAGGGGUAAAGGGAAUUCCCGGUGUAAGGGUGAAAUCUGCAGAGAUCGGGAAGAACACCAGUCGCGAAGGCGCUUUACUGGCUCACAACUGACGCUGAGGGACGAAAGCUAGGGGAGCAAACGGG